rnacentral:rRNA from 1 species
AGUGAACGCUGGCGGUAGGCCUAACACAUGCAAGUCGAACGGCAGCACAGUAAGAGCUUGCUCUUACGGGUGGCGAGUGGCGGACGGGUGAGGAAUACAUCGGAAUCUACUUUUUCGUGGGGGAUAACGUAGGGAAACUUACGCUAAUACCGCAUACGACCUACGGGUGAAGCCAGGGAUCCUCGGACCUUUGCCGGAUGAAUGAGCCGAUGUCGGAUUAGCUAGUUGGCGGGGUAAAGGCCCACCAAGGCGACGAUCCGUAGCUGGUCUGAGAGGAUGAUCAGCCACACUGGAACUGAGACACGGUCCAGACUCCUACGGGAGGCAGCAGUGGGGAAUAUUGGACAAUGGGCGCAAGCCUGAUCCAGCCAUACCGCGUGGGUGAAGAAGGCCUUCGGGUUGUAAAGCCCUUUUGUUGGGAAAGAAAAGCAGCAGGUUAAUACCCCGCUGUUCUGACGGUACCCAAAGAAUAAGCACCGGCUAACUUCGUG